AUCAACAAAAACAUUUAAUUGAAUUUUUACAAAAUGGUUAAAAAAAAAUAUUAAUUUGGUGAAUUGAUGAUGGUAAUGAUUUUGAAAUUAAAAAUUAAUUACUUAAUUUUAUAAUUGCCAACCAAUUUUCAUAGAGAACCAAGUUGCCUAGAUAAUAAUUCCAGAAAAUCGUUUGCGGUUGGAAAUGAUAAAAGUCUUGGGGUGGCAAAGCGUGCAGGUUUUUGCGGUCGAUCUCGCGAAUUCCACGUAAUCCGCCAGCAUCGGUGCCGCGCAUUAUUUGUCUCCCGCCGUUUACAGUAAAGUUGCAAAAAGCAUCGCGCCGUUUUUCGCCGUCGAUUCCGAGUAUUGACACAUUAAUAUUAGCCGCGGCCGAAAUUGCCUUUCGCGUAAGGCGCUGCUGCUCUGCUUUUUGUCGCAGCCAGGAGCGCAGACGGGCGAGGUGUAACAUUCCAUAGUGUCCAAAAGACGAAAGGGUUGCUCUUGUUCUUUUUGUGGCGCGACCGGGCUGCCUAGUUAGCAGUCGUCCGGCGUCCGCCAGCCUCGUCUGCGCGCAUAUAAAAUUCCUUUUCGGCUUCUGAGCUGCUACUUUUAUUUUUUGUCAAUACCGCCGGGUGGGUAAACGUAUAAUUUUAUUACGAGACGAGAAUGAGAGAGAGAGAGAGAGAAAAAAAGUUAGAACUCCCGCCGCUUCUUAACGUGAAUUAAUUCCUAACAGAGGAAAAAGAAGCUCGGAAAAUAUGAUGUAUGGCUAUGUCAUUCAUAGUGGACGUCGUGCUGCGCGCGACGCUCAUCCGAAGCUUGUAAAAAGGUACGUUUUAUAUUUGAAAAUCACUGAUUUCAAUCCUCUGAACAAUAUCAGAUUGCCAAAAAUAUAAAAAAUUAAUAGCAAAAAAAUAAAUUUCAAAAUUUUAAAGUUUAUUUAUAAAUAUAAUUUUAAAAUGGUCAACAACCAAAUUAAAAAUUGAUCUCAAAUCUUGGAAAUUUUAUCAAAAUUUUGAAAAAUAUGCAGCAGGAGUGUGUUGAAUGUUGAAUAUCAAGGAAUUUGCCUAAUUUUCAAUAAUUGCACAAGUCAUGAAAAAAAAAAUUUAAUAAUUAAAAGUGGCUGUUAGUUUAUUCUUAAAAAAUUUACUACAAAGUUGCAAUAAAUUCGCAGUUUUCAAUUCACUAACGUACCCUUUCUGUCUAGCUGGAUAAAAUGAAUAACAAAUUAUUCAAAUUAUCAGCCCGUGCGAACUAGGAAUAAUUUAUAAAUAGGUCCUGCUCAUAUUUACCAAAUAAACAUGCUUAUUUAUGUAUUAACAGCAGACAAAUUAACGUGCGAAUUUAUAAUUCGCUCUAUGAACGCACCUGACUAGGAGGAGGUAUGUGAAAUUUUUGACGUCUGAAAAAACUUGGACCAAAAUGUGCGUUUGCUACUUUUUUCCUAUUAGGAAUUUUUUCGCUAUAAAAAACAAUGGUCCCCAGAAGCCCAUGAGCAACUAGGUCCUGCGGCUCAUUAAGCCGCAUACAUUUUCGUUUCGACACAGCAGCCGACCUUUCUUUCUCCAUUCGGUGGCCAAUUUACGGCCCCAUAUGCCCGUCGCACUGCGCAUUUAUCACCGAACAUCUCUCUUAAUUAAUUACGCGAGCGGCCGAAAGAAGUUUGCUGUCACAACGCGCGGGGAACUUUAUUGACCUCUCCUUCUAAUUUACGAAAAAUAAAAUAGUAGCCUCUUUUACAUUUGCUGCAAGUGGAAAAAGCGUGGGGACCGCGCGGCCGCCGGCAGAGGACGCUUAAUCACAAUGUCACCGGCGUGUCUUAGAGAUCAUUACGGAGCUUGUUUUGGAGGAGAGCGAGCGCGGCCGGACCUACUGUUUAUAAUGAGCAGCCAGAAGAAAAGUUUAAAAGGCGGCAUGCAGCACCCGUAGAAAGAGAGACAGUGUGUUUUUGUGAGACUGAGUUUAUCACGAUUAUUGAAUUGACACCUCAGAUCCAUCAUAUUACGGGCCGAUUUACAAUAUAAUUAAUUGAGUCCUCCGGACCGGAUCGUUAUCGGCCUUCUUUUUUCGUCCGCGCGGCUAAAAGCAUUUGGAUGUCGGACAGAAAUUCCCACACUUCCCUCUUUCUGCAUGAGAAAACAACAAUAUAAAAUCGAAAGUAUAUAUUUAAAUUCACGUACAUGAGAGGGUUAAAAAGAAGAAGUUUUUAUUAAAGAGCAGCAAUUAAAGCGGCUCCUGGGCACCAAUUUACGAGCUUUGAACGCAAACAGAAUAAAUGUAAUGCACCAAUUUAAGUAUCUCGUCGCGGCGGCAGCUGCAAUAAAAUUUCUGCAUUCAUUACCAUCAACUUGCCUUUGGAAUAUUAUACGCGGCUGGAAUCGGCAAACGGACAACUUAAUAGCAAAAAUAAAGUAGCGUGAUUUAUAAUUAUUAUUUUCUAAUGGUUCCCUCUCUCUACUCUAUUGGAAGCAGAUUCUCGGGAAAUGUGCUUGAACGUUCAUAAAUAAAUAUUUUGCGCCGCGACUUUUCUCGGUAGAACGAAAUGAAAACGAGAAGAGCAAACGUCCAGUUACAGUUUGUAUUGCGGGAGAGACUCGCAAUUACCAUUAAUAAAAAUGGAAAUGUGCCCUUCAUGUGCGGGUAAUCGUCCCACACGGGUAACGAGCUGCAAAUCAUUUGCCUAUAGACGGAAUAUAAAAGCAAUAAACGGCUUCAAACUAUUUUCAAAAAUGACUCAUUUCAUUUGCAACUAUUAAAUUUUACAAAAAAAAAUUGAUUUAUUUGUCUUUUGCUUAUAAAUUAUUAAUAUUUUAAGUUAAGAACUUGAAAGCAGCAAAUCUUACUAGUAAAUCUGACUGAAAGCAAAAUGGGAAUGAAUGAACGGCAGUGAAUCUCAUUUGCAUAGCAAACAAAUCAGUCUCUCUUGCUGUCCGAAAACUGCACCCACACGAAUAAAUUUUGUAAUUGAAAACGGAUGUAAUCUGUACAUAUUCCAAGGGGUGCCCUGCUCAAAGUAAUGGUGCAGGAUCAACAAAGGAAAUUUUUCAUGGGUCGAGAAACUUUGCGUGGGCCCUCUGAACGGGGGUCAGUCCCUCUCUCACGUGUGUGCUUAUUAAAAAAAUCCAAUCUGCCGAUCCUUUUCUCUCUAACUCUGGCGCGCGGGCCGCCUAAUCUCGUUAGCAUUUUAAUUUCGCUCCAGCUAGGAUAUUGCUGACCUCCUCCGGUUGCGGUGCUACACUUUGUCCAUGACAUCAGCCGACGCACAACGGGCAGGUGGCGUGACCCGAGCGGAUCAUCCAUUACUAGCGGCAGGAGAUAAACGAUUAUUAUGGAAAAGGCAAGCGGCUCUUUUAGGCUGACAAUUGCAAAUGUGAAGUGGCAAAGGUUAAUUAAUGAAUGGAAUCGGAAAAGAUCUGGUAUAUUCAGAAUAAGAAUUGGCUUCAAAAAUAUAAUAGUUCCAUACUAAAGCAAGGGUUCAAUUCAUUUCAAAUAAAUGGGAAUAACGAUGAAUUAGCUACAAAUGAGCUAAAAUUAUAUUUCCAUAGCGAUCGUCACUCUUUUCAUUUAAAUGAUAACACUGUUCUUAAUUUAUGUGCUAAUAUUUAUAAAAUAAUAAUAUAAUUAUGAUGAAAUUAAAAAUAAAAUCAUUUUUUUUAAAUUCUCAUUAUAAUUUAAUAUAAUUAAUACAUUAUUUUAUUUUACUUUUUGUAAAUAAUUCCAAUUUUUGGCUCAUUAUACUUUUAUUUAUCAAGAUUUUGCUUUAAUUUUAGAAAACAUCAAGUAUAUAACGUGGCUUUCAUCUACAUGAUCAUGAUUGCUGCACGCAGAAAUUUUAACUUGGUUAUUCAUUUUAGAUUUAAAAAUAUUCAAAAGUUGUCAUUAGAUACAAUAUAAUUUAUUAAUUUAUUGGUGGACAAAUCAAAAGAUGAACUUGAGUGAAAUAGUUUACACUUACUGGUAGAUAAAAAGGGGGGAUUUACCAUUGUUCAAAAAGUGAUUUACAUUGUUGCCUUUAAAUAAUUAUGGAAAAUAUUUAAUGUGGUCAAAUUAAACCGAUUUCAUAACAACUGCAUGUUCAUUUUUUUUCUAUUGUAUUUAUAAUCUUUCGUUAGCACAUAUGGUUUUAGAAUUCAAUUCAUUUUAUUUUUCUCCGGUUAAGUCAGAAAAUCAAUUGUGAAAAAUUUGGUUGGGAGAAAAAUAGGCUCACUGAAACUCAUAUGUAACCCGAGUAUUUACCAAGAGGCGAUAUAUAUGUGAUUACUCGCCACAUUGCAGCCUAAACUACGGGGAAAAAAUUCAAAUUUGCUUGACAUGCUCUUUGCAAAAUUGUGGGAAAUUGUUUUCUUUCAAAAGUUGCUCUAUAGAAAAAUUCAUUUAAAUAUUUUUGUUAAUGUGUUUUUGCUUAUUCAAUCAAUAUUAAUAUUGAGAAUUUUGUAAUUCUGCUGCUGCGACUUGUUAUUUUUUAUUCCCGAAUUUAGAAACACUUUUGUGUGUGAAAAAAUUUCCUUUAUGGCACAAAAGGCGCCCAAACAAACGCCUAAUUUAACAUAAUUCACGAGAGAGAGAAAAUGGGCCAAUUUACACCGAAAUCUAUGAAAACGGUGGCAAUUUGGUGUCGGAGCGGACCGCUCGCGGCUAAGAUCGGAAACAAAAAAGGCCGCGGCUCGCAGAAAGAGCGAAAUGAUUAUUAUAUUAUUAAAAUUCCGGCCUCGCUCGGCGUGCUCGGAAUUGUAAAAGCGCAGCUCGAAAAGUACGACUAGAAAUCUGCAUUUAAUUGAGAGCGCGGCCGGCCGGCAGAUGAGAUGCUAAUUGCGAGCACCUUCCUGCUGGAACUUUUUGCCUCAUCUUUUUACGAGCAAGUACAUUGGUAUUACAAAUUUAGUUUAUUGCAAACCAAAAUGAUAAUAAGAAGUUGCAAGUAAGGGGUUUGCAUAUGAUUAUACUGACAUUAUUUAAUUGCUUAAUAAAUUAUUAAUGGGUAAUUGUUCAGUAAUUUCUAUUGUGUAAAUUAUUAUGAUUAAUUGGUAAUUGUUUAAAACAAUGUAAGUUGGCUUACACACGGGCUUUAUUGUAUUCACAACAAUUCUGGCUGGAUAGGGUAAAUUCACUGGCUCGAAAUUGUCCGUAUAGUGUCACUUAAAAAUCAACAAAUGGGAGCGGUGUUCCCUGGGUAGGCCGGCAGGCUGCCCUGGAAACGUCCUUGCUGGGAACCCGGACGGCUCCCUGCAGGUCGGCGGCGGCUCUCGGCGCGGCCGGGGCCCACGGCGUGCGGGUCUCUGGCGGCGGACGUUCGGACGCCUUCGUCCGAGCGCUCGCUGGCGGCGUGCCACGUCGGCGCCCGAUUCCUCGGACAGGAAGGAGCUGGGGACAAAAACAAUGGGUCACUCGGCUGUACUUCCGUCUCACGUAGUGGUUUGACCUUUUGGCCAAAAGAAGGCCUCAGGGAGAAACAAUUGUAAUUUCUCUUACCUGGCAAAGCUGCUCCGUACGGCUUCGGACGGCUCGGCCACACCCCGGACAGUACGAUGGACACAGGCGUGCCGCUCGAGGGGCUCGGGACGCGGUCGGCCUUCCGGCUGUCCUCGGACGAGACAGCGUCGGGACAAAGGCAGCGGUCGGGGCCUUGGGACGGCUCGGACGAGUGCGAAGGGUUCGGACGGGUGUCCGGAACUGCACUGGAAGUCCAGGUGUCCUGCGAACAAAGAGCAAAGUGUUGAAUGCUCUCCGUCAGCUGGCUCGAGUGUCGAAGCUUUACCUCUGAUUUCUCUGAGGUCAGUCAGCCUUCUGCAUCGAGCCAGCGGACGGAGCGCCUUUUAUAGCGCGGGUAGCAGCCCUGGGAGGGUCGCGCAAAACCCACCCACCCAUUUGAUUUACAUUGAGAACUUUCUAGAUGCAUCUAGAAAGUUCUGUGAAUCUGCAGUUGAAUUCUAAAAUGCCUUUAUAAAUUCCCUUGUAUCGAAAUAGAAUACCAUGAAUUUUACAAGCUAAUUCCAAUUGAAUUUAUACUAAUUAUUUGUAAAUUUAAAGCUACUUUAAAUUUAAAAUAAAGGCAAGAUUAAUUUGUAAGAAUUCAACUUAAAACAAUGGCCAGAAAUUAAAAAAGAAUAAUUAAAAAGAAAGCCCUUAAAAAAUGAAUUUAAUUGUAAGCCGAAAAUUAAUUGAAUAAUAAUAAUAAAAAAAACAAUGAAGUUCUCCGAUGACACAGCCACAGUCAAAACAAACAAAUUAAGAGAGGAAUAAAAUAAUUAUUCCACACCAAAUCCCCCUCUUUUGACUGGCGGCUGUGGUCAGCUGUGACUGGAUGAUCUCCAGGACGAUUGCCAGGACGACGUACUGCACGUAGACUGUCCAGAUCCUGAGCUGGCGCUGUCCUCAAGGAAAAACGUCGUGGGCACCAUAAUCACGCGUGAAUCCGGCCUUGUUGUUGUUGUUUUUCGCAUGCGGCGAGGGCGAGGUCUUGGUUCUUUGUGCGCUGAUUUUUCCUUCUCCCUCUCCUGGCUUGAUGGCGAACUUGGUUGUGGCGCCACUCUCAUCUCUCUCCUGCUGAUUUUUCUUCCCCCUCUUGCGAAAAGUUCAUUGACUUUUUGGCCGCCACAGAUAACAGCUGGCCCACGUUGUUUAUUUGCCGCACUCGUUGUGGUUUUUUGUGUGGGAGUUUUAAUGGCAAAUUCGGCCUUAUCUGUCGGUUGUCGGCGGCGCCGUCGGCGAGUAAAUGCACGCUGGGCGAUGUGGUCAGCAGGUGGGAAAUUUUGUCUUCGUAAACUUGAUUGGACACUGUGCGGCACGGCAAGAUCGCUUUAGAAGCCCUUUGUUGUCGUCGCUUGAAUCUUCUUUUCCGUCGACGUUUCUCUCUACGAGUCGCAGAAGGGACGUGGUCGUUGCUGGCGGAUGGUCGGUGGGCAUGGACAAUAUCCGUCUUGUCUGAGUGUGUGGAGAAGUGAGGGCAAGAAUUGGAGUUGCAAGUAUGGUUGGUGAGAAGGUAUUCUGGAUGAACUGAAUUCUGCCUUCUCGUGGAAAUUUGACGGAAGUGGUGGAAGCACUGCCGCAGGUGGCCAAUGCUGGAAGUCAAAGAGACCGACUGGAGGAAGGAUUGCCGAAGAGUAAUGCAAAUUUGGAGCAGAAGCCGAUGGUCCUGGCCAGCUCUGGCUUGUUGGGGAGUGGUUCUGGGAAGCAUAAAAUUGAGGAAGGUUUACUGCUCUUCGUUGGGUUGGAGGACAGUAUUGCAGUUUCCUCAACGAGAAUGGCGAUUUUGCGUGCCUCAAGAAUUGAUUUUGGUUCCUGGAUGUACACCUGCCAAUAAAAGUCGACUCGUAGGCCACGGAUGAAAAUGCGCAGGAACUCCGCUUCUCUAAUGUCAAAGUUUUGUUUUAAACUUAAUCCAACAAUGGGUUGUUCAUGGUGCCACAAUUCGUCUGCCAGCCCUCUCAAUCGGUGCUUACUGGCGGCUCAAAUUCGUCUUGAAAAACUUUCUGGAGUGAGGAGAAGUUGCUGAUGGUGGCCUCGUCAAGAUGCUUAACAAACUCCCUUGCUCGUCCAGAAGUGCGGAAAAGUAACAACCACCACACAUCUUUUGGCUGCAGUUGUUGGUCCCUCUGUGAGUACGUCUGGUUUUGGCGCCUCGUCGUGAUUGAUGUGGGACACUGGGUGUUCAGGCAGCAGUUGGCCAACCUGUGAUGCGCCGUCCAAGGGGAGGAGGUGCUCCUGAGGGUGCAGGACAUCCACCUGAGUGUACUGCUGGUAUUGGCAAGAAAGAAGUGUUUGUUGUUGUUGAAGUGGGAGGGAAAUUUGUGCAAUUGGGUCGUUGUCGUCCGACUUGUACAGCUGUAGAGUCUUUCCAGGGUCACACCCUCCAGGGUCACACCCCGUUGUUGUCUGCUCACAAGCCAGGGGUUCAAAAUAAAUUUGAUUUAAAAAUAAAGGAGACAGUUGUUCUUUGUCUGCCAUUGUAUUUUAACAAAAUAAAGUUGUAAAAAUUGUGUAAAUUGUAAUUUAAUUGUUUAUUUUGUUUGUCAGUAUAAUCCCCAGGAGUGCCAGGAUCGCCAAUUGGUAUUACAAAUUUAGUUUAUUGCAAACCAAAAUGAUAAUAAGAAGUUGCAAGUAAGGGGUUUGCAUAUGAUUAUACUGACAUUAUUUAAUUGCUUAAUAAAUUAUUAAUGGGUAAUUGUUCAGUAAUUUCUAUUGUGUAAAUUAUUAUGAUUAAUUGGUAAUUGUUUAAAACAAUGUAAGUUGGCUUACACACGGGCUUUAUUGUAUUCACAACAAUUCUGGCUGGAUAGGGUAAAUUCACUGGCUCGAAAUUGUCCGUAUAGUGUCACUUAAAAAUCAACAAAUGGGAGCGGUGUUCCCUGGGUAGGCCGGCAGGCUGCCCUGGAAACGUCCUUGCUGGGAACCCGGACGGCUCCCUGCAGGUCGGCGGCGGCUCUCGGCGCGGCCGGGGCCCACGGCGUGCGGGUCUCUGGCGGCGGACGUUCGGACGCCUUCGUCCGAGCGCUCGCUGGCGGCGUGCCACGUCGGCGCCCGAUUCCUCGGACAGGAAGGAGCUGGGGACAAAAACAAUGGGUCACUCGGCUGUACUUCCGUCUCACGUAGUGGUUUGACCUUUUGGCCAAAAGAAGGCCUCAGGGAGAAACAAUUGUAAUUUCUCUUACCUGGCAAAGCUGCUCCGUACGGCUUCGGACGGCUCGGCCACACCCCGGACAGUACGAUGGACACAGGCGUGCCGCUCGAGGGGCUCGGGACGCGGUCGGCCUUCCGGCUGUCCUCGGACGAGACAGCGUCGGGACAAAGGCAGCGGUCGGGGCCUUGGGACGGCUCGGACGAGUGCGAAGGGUUCGGACGGGUGUCCGGAACUGCACUGGAAGUCCAGGUGUCCUGCGAACAAAGAGCAAAGUGUUGAAUGCUCUCCGUCAGCUGGCUCGAGUGUCGAAGCUUUACCUCUGAUUUCUCUGAGGUCAGUCAGCCUUCUGCAUCGAGCCAGCGGACGGAGCGCCUUUUAUAGCGCGGGUAGCAGCCCUGGGAGGGUCGCGCAAAACCCACCCACCCAUUUGAUUUACAUUGAGAACUUUCUAGAUGCAUCUAGAAAGUUCUGUGAAUCUGCAGUUGAAUUCUAAAAUGCCUUUAUAAAUUCCCUUGUAUCGAAAUAGAAUACCAUGAAUUUUACAAGCUAAUUCCAAUUGAAUUUAUACUAAUUAUUUGUAAAUUUAAAGCUACUUUAAAUUUAAAAUAAAGGCAAGAUUAAUUUGUAAGAAUUCAACUUAAAACAAUGGCCAGAAAUUAAAAAAGAAUAAUUAAAAAGAAAGCCCUUAAAAAAUGAAUUUAAUUGUAAGCCGAAAAUUAAUUGAAUAAUAAUAAUAAAAAAAACAAUGAAGUUCUCCGAUGACACAGCCACAGUCAAAACAAACAAAUUAAGAGAGGAAUAAAAUAAUUAUUCCACACCAACAUAGAUAGAUAAUAACUCCUCAGGUGUACGGCAGCAUUAUUUAUGCUGCGGGGCUCGCCCCCUGCGCCGAGCUUACAGUUUUAUAUAUAAUUGUUCACCCAGCCCGGCUUUAAUUAUUCCAAAUUGGUACGUGUGUGCUGCUGAGGCAGUCGGAUCGCCCCGAGCCGAUCCGAAUAUAUCUGCGAGAGAUUCUAAUAACAACCUGCGUGAUAAUUACUAGCCGUUUUUCUUUCUUUUAUUCCUUCAUUUCUCGCACUGCAACAUUCCUCAAAUUUUUUUCCUCUGGAGAUUUUUUACGGCAAAAAAAAACUGUAAAGGAGUUUCCGGUUAAUUUCGUGAUUGACGUGAGGGAUGAUUGAUUGCCUGA